rnacentral:lncRNA from 1 species
GGAAAGUCAAGAUUCUCAACAAGGAGUUAAUUAUUUUGUGGGGGGAAAUUUUCCUCCCUGGAAACGCUUUGGAAGUAUUUUCUGUCCAGUUAGUAAUGGCACAUCACUGAACACAGUACUUUUAGCACUGGUCAGGAUGACCGGAGGCACCAGGUUGACUUCACACUGCAAGUGGGGUUUGGCUGUGGCACAGGCUUCCUGUGGGGCAUGGAUUGGGGAUGCCUUUGACACAAUAUCUUCCCCUUAAAUGCCCAACUUCCUGGGGCUGUCUGUCCUUGCCUAUGAUCUGUCUAAUCAUUGCAGGAUAAUUCUGGCCUACAAAGAUAGCUUGUUGGCUGCAAGAUUUGGUACAUGUCACUUUGCAGGAGGGAGCCAUGUAGUUGCAGUGAUAGCCCUGGACAGGCUCUGCUCUGACGUGCAGUUCUGGCACAUUCUGAGCUUUCCCAAGCUGCACUGGGGAGGAAAGGGGCUCCUGGGGACAGGUGAUAUCUAUUCAAUGCCUAUGCCCCAGCUUCUCUUCUAUGAACUCCCCAGUGUCUUUCCUAAUUUUCUGAGCUUCAAUAGUCCCAGUAAAGACAGCUCUACUUUUAACUCAACCUCUAUUCUGCACAGAUGAUGACAAGGAGCUACCCUUUUCCUGGGAACUUUCUUGUUUUCCAUAUGUUAUGAUGGGUUUAUUAGACUGCUGCAAAAAGGUCUUCAUCCAUUUUCUGAAAAGGUUUUCAGGAGGAGGCUGUGUUUUCAAGGUUGGGGAAGAUUUGCUCCCAAGUGACUCCCUUGAUGUCUUGUUAUGAAUAGCAUGGCUCUUUCUUCUGAGUUGGGAUGUCCCCAACCCUGCGUCCCCUCCACCAAGCUCUCCUCCAUUAGGUCUUAGAGGGCUCACUCUCUUUGUAGCUGGUGAAAAAUUCUUAACUUGGCAUUUCUGUAAGACGUGCGUAGGGACCCUGGGCUCCUGCUGCUGUGCCACAGGGAUCCCUCUGUCCUCCAAGGGGACAUGCAGCACCUGGGAAGUUCCCCUGUCCCGACUUGAGAUGCCUGGGGCAUGAGUCAGUAAGUCCUUGGAACUCAAGUUAUCUAAGGCAAGAGACAUGCCAGUGAAAUGGCUCUGAGGUUGGCUAUGCUUCCUCUGGACCAACUUUAACUGGCUCAACAUCUGAUUUUUAAGAUAUGAUGAUUUAGGAGUUUGAGGAACUGGUAUUCUUGGUGGGAAAAUUUCAGUUUCAUGAGAAGUGCUUCUUUUCACGUUUGUCACUAAGCAGCUUCCUGACUUGCUGGUUGUCAAGUUCUUCCUAGUUUGUGAUUGAAGAGUACAGAUCUCCUCUUCCUUGAACAUCUCCUUCGACCCAUUGGUGACAGGAAAGGUCUUUCUACUGCCCUGAAGCCUGUUAACAUUAUUACUGGCACUCUCUCUCUUAUCCCUUGAAUCACGGCCAGCUCCAGCUUGCAGUAUGGGCAGCUCUGCGCUGCAUCUACUGGCAAGUACAGUCUGUUUCUGACUGACUUCGUCUAUGAUGCUGUGGGGGCGGGGGCAGAAAAGUCUGUCUGCCAUCCUCAGUUGUCCAGACACUUUCUGUAAGAUCCUCGUCAGUAUCAGCGAAUUCUCUUCAGAGGGUCCCCUGCUUUUCUUGAUCAACAGGUGAGGUGACGAGGUGAGGAUGACCCAAGAUGGAGAAUGAGCUUGUUGUUUCUAAUUUUUCUCCGUGAAAAUAUGUAGUGCCUCUUCUAAGGGGCGUGGAGGCACCAUCUUUGGCAUCUGUCUCUAUAAGGUCAUGGUCAGUAUCAGAAAAUUGUCUUCUCAGGGUCCCCUGCCCUUCUUUGCCAAUAGGUGAGGAGACAGGCUGAGGAUGAUUAAGGACAGGGACUGAGCUUGUUGUUCCCAACUUUUCUCCUUGAAAAGUGCUUCGUCUACGAGACUUAGAGACCCCAUCUUUGGAAUCUCCCUGAGAAAUAAAGCUGGCUGAGGAGGGAAGGUCGAAAAGGGAAAAGGAAUUGGAAAGAUCCUCUUCCGAUUUGAAGAUUUCUAUGGAUUCACGGACCUUGCGGGGAAGGCCCCACAGCAUCCUGAUAUGGAAAGAUUUAAUAUGGGCUUCAUAUGGAAAGAUUUAAUAUGGGCUUCCAACAUCUUUUGUUUGUUGGAACGAAGGAAGGACAUCUCCUGGGAGGUAUCAACGCGGUGGUCCUCACUCACCAAUGCUGCCAAAUUUUGAUGUUUAAUUUGGCAUAUUGUCUGCUUGACUGAGUGCCAUGAACUAUGCACAGUCCCAGGCAUUCGACCCUCAUUGAUUUCCUCAAAUUUCUUGCUCAAAUGUACUGUCAGGGCAUUUUCAAGUUGUUUCUGACCUAGUCUCACCCCUGAGUCAUUCCCUGACAGAUGCAUCAUAUGAGUUUCUAGGUCUCUCUCAGAGUUAGACCUCAGAUUCUCGUCUGAAGAUGUCUCCGGAUCAUGCAACAGGUGAUCUUUUGGGGCAGUCUCCUGGCUGUAUCCCUGAUAAUUCCUCACAUUCUCCAUGGAAAGCAUAUUUGAGCUCCUCUCGUGGAAGCUUCUAGGGAAGCUUGAUGCGGACUUCUUUAGAACAUUGCACCUCUGACCCUCAACCAAAGAGAUAUUUAACGGACCAUGAUUGCUCUCUGACACAGAUAGCUCUGAAAUUUUGCUCUGAGGACGUAGCAAUGACAGAGACUCAUGGAUUCUGCGGGGCAGGCCCCAUCUGCGCUGGAUGAGCCUCUUUCGAAUGUGUUGCUCUAGUUUCUUCCUUACCUCAGAGCUGAGUGGAAAAUCUCGAGGAAUGAUGGAGAUGGGAACAUGGACCUUGAAGGACUUUCUGACCAAUGCAGGAUUGGGAGCUGGAGGACAAAAGUCUUCCUGGGAUUUUUGAACCACAGAGGGUAAGCCCCACACACUUUCCUGCACUUUCUGCAACACGUUCCACUCCAGAUGGUUAAUUUCAGAUGGCAAAAGAGACCGUGCCUCAUUCUGGGGUCUAUGAAAACACACUCCACACACCCUAAUCAGGAAUAGAGGACUAGGUAGUAGGGCUGGGAAUGGACAUUGAGGUUGAGCCUGGGACUGGACCUGAGUGAGAUGUAGGGACUGACCUCGGGGCAGGGUUUGAGGCAAGGGUAGUGGUUGGGUACUAGGCAAGAACAGAGGUUGGGGAGGGGGAAGUACUGGGGGUUCAUGGGAUAUAGAUGUAUUUGUAAUGCCAUUGAAGAAUACAAACAUGGAGGAAUGGCCACGUUGGACAAGAACAGUAGGAUGCAGAGACUCGCUGUGCAAAGAUGGGAGACCCCAGAAGAGCUGGACAUAUUUUUGCUCUAAAUGGUCCUCAAAACACUUAGAAUAUGGGGCCUGCUGAUGGAUGUGCUGCCACUCUAGUUUGCCUUUACUGGCCCAAAAAGGAAAGGAUUCUGCUAAGUCAUGCUUAACAGCAGCUGAGGUUAACAUAUUCCGUGAGGAAUUUAGUUGGUAGUUUCGCCUAAGUUGUGUUGGGAAAGAUCCUGGUUUCUUUCCAUUUUCUUUCCACAUCAGGAAAUCACCCCUUCUUUUGACUUGUCUCUCCAGGAGUGCCAGAAUGUCAUGGCUGAGAAAAGAGAUGUUAACAGGCUGUAUGAUGUUGGCCACAGAGUGCCCCCCUAAAGAGGCCUCAGAAGAAUGAAGGGUAAGAAGCUCCUCCAUGAAAUCAGAUGGCACAAAAUUGGAGGAAAAAGAGUCCUCGGCAUGAGGCUGCCACCAGGAGAAUUCUGAAGAUGCAGGGCAUGAAUGGUCAAUGCCUUUGAUUGUUGGGGCAGAGGUGGAUGACCCACCAGAGCCACCUAGAGAUAACAUUUCCGGAAAAGUCUUCAAGAUGCUCUGCAAUUAAAGUUUCACUGGAGAGCAACCUGUGUUUUUAAUCUCACUGUCCAUGAAGGGCUAAUACGGGCAACAGGAGGUGAGAUGUCUGCUACACUCUUGGAAGUGACCUUGGAGAACUUUCCAGUCUGAGAAACCCCGUCUGCUUUCUCAUUUUACAAAUUGGAAACUGAGGCCAACACAGGGAACAUGACCUACGACGCUUUGGAUCUCCAUGGCAAGCAUUGACACUGGCAAAAAUUAUCUAAUAAACACUUAUAUUGAAUGAGUAAACGUUAGAGAGACAUGGAAGCAAGUAUGAAGGACCUCGCCAGGACUUUAGAUGGACUGAACUGAUCAUAAAAGAAACUUCAGUUCUUGGCCAGGCACAGUGGCUCACGCAUGUAAUCCCAGCACUUUGGGAGGCUGAGGUGGGUGGAUUACCUGAGGUCGAGAAUUCAAGACCAGCCUAGCCAACAUGGUAAAACUGUCUCUACUGAAAAUACAAAAAGUAGCCAGGUGUGGUGACACGUUCCUGUAAUCCCAGCUACUUGGGAGGCUGAGGCAGGAGAAUCACUUGAACCUGGGAGGCGGAGGUUGCAGUGAGCCAAGAUCCCACUACUGCACUCCAGCCUGGGUGACAGAGUGAGGCUCCAUCUCAAAAAGAAAAAAAAAGAAACUUCAGUUCCUGACAAAUUAUAGACUGGAGACAUAGAGAAAAGAUAAUGAUGUGGAUUCUUGAACAAGGGCACAAGACAAUGAAUUUGCUCAUAAACGUGGGCAGAUCUACCGAUUAGACCUGAGGAACAAUGCCUACUGUGUGCCCAGCACUGUGUAAGUUACUUUCAUAUGUACCAACAGACUAAGAUAACAGUAAGCUGUCAAAACUGACUGAGGUCUCCUUGAAUUCUCUCAGACUUGAUUGGCCCCAGAGCUGGGGAUGAGAUGAGCAAGCAUGGACUAUGAGGUUGGUUCAGAUGAAUUUUUGUGAACAAUCGUCUGUCGAUGAAAGGACUGCCUUUGAAGACAAUAUCCUUGGUGAUCUUAAGAGUAUGGUCCUCUGAAGCCAGUGUUCAACAAGAUGUAAAAAUGAGAAGAUUUCAUGCCAUGGAAUUUCUAUCAUAGAUAUGGUUUUUUGUAAUUUUAGCAGUUCCUCUCAACCUUUGCAGCAGUUUUGGAGCCGAGCAGAUGGCAGGGGAGGGCUUAACUAAGUGGUGAAGUUUCAGCUGCAAAAGGCAAUUCCUAGAAUGACAAUUCAGAAACUCAUUUCCCCCAACACUUAUCAUAUUGGCAGAGGGUUAGUGAAUCUUUUUAGAAAAACAAGAAGAAGGCAAUGCAUCAGAAUAAGGCAGCCUAUGUUUGGUUAGGUUAUGUGCAGGCAAACACUACUGAGUCCAAUUCUUUCCUUGCACUGCAAUUCCCAAGGCAACAGGCCAGUCUUGUUUGUAAAUUAAAUAAUAUCCAAAAUAGCUAAAGCUUAGGAUCUGAAAUAUAAGGCACCUCCAGCACAUGGAGCAACUGCUACAUGCAUCCGAAACCAGGGGAUGACAGUUUCAGCUAAGUUGUUCCAACCCUGGCUGGCAUUAAGGACCCCUAGAGUUUCCAGCUAUAUAUCAUAAGGAAACAGCAAGUUUGUAGAAAGAGCAUAAUCUGUGCUCAAAUCCUGCCUCUGAUACUAAAUAACUAUAUGAUCUUGAAAAAAUUACUUUUCCUCUCUGAGCCUCUUUCCACAAAUGGUGGUGGGGUGGGGGAGGGGAUAAUUGCAAUCUCAAAGGCUUAUUGUAAGAAUUCAGUGUGAUAAUAUACAUGAAAGUAAUGAGCAAACCACAAAUCUUAAACUGGUAUCCAUUUUUCUUCAUUUCUAUUCUGCCUAGCUCGGCAGAAGUUUGUCAAAAUAUCUGUUGCUCUUUCAAACUGCUUCAGCUUUGGCUCAUCCAUAAUUUUUUCUUUAUCUUCAAACAACUUUAAUUAUAAUGGUUUGCUUUUCUUAAAAUUUCAUAGCCCAUAUUCUUUGUGAAUGAGACAGUGAGGUUUGGCUUUUGGGACUUUAGUUUUGAUCCUUUACAAUAUGCAUAUAACAAAAACAAUAAAUGUAUUUUAUA